CCUCCAGCUGAGGCUUCCUCUGACUCAGAGAGUUGUGUGUGUGUUUCAGAGAGAUGUGUGUGUGUUUCAGAGAGAUGUGUGUGUGUUUCAGAGAGAUGUAGAUGUGUUUCAGAGAGAUGUGUGUGUGUUUCAGAGAGAUGUGUGUGUGUUUCAGAGAGAUGUGUGUGUGUUUCAGAGAGAUGUGUUUCAGAGAGAUGUGUGUAUGUGUUUCAGAGAGAUGUGUGUGUGUUUCAGAGAGAUGUGUGUGUGUUUCAGAGAGAUGU